rnacentral:rRNA from 1 species
CAGCCAAGUCGUGAGGCGGAGCUAAUCCCUUAAAGCCAUUCUCAGUUCGGACUGUAGGCUGAAACUCGCCUACAUGAAGCUGGAGUUACUAGUAAUCGCAGAUCAGAAUGCUGCGGUGAAUGCGUUCCCGGGUCUUGUACACACCGCCCGUCACACCACGGAAGUUGGGGGCGCCCGAAGCCACUUAGCUAACCCUUUUGGGAAGCGAGUGUCGAAGGUGAAAUCAAUAACUGGGUGAAGUCGUAACAAGGUACC